GAUGAACGCUGGCGGCGUGCCUAAUACAUGCAAGUCGAGCGAACAGACGAGGAGCUUGCUCCUCUGACGUUAGCGGCGGACGGGUGAGUAACACGUGGAUAACCUACCUAUAAGACUGGGAUAACUUCGGGAAACCGGAGCUAAUACCGGAUAAUAUAUUGAACCGCAUGGUUCAAUAGUGAAAGACGGUUUUGCUGUCACUUAUAGAUGGAUCCGCGCCGCAUUAGCUAGUUGGUAAGGUAACGGCUUACCAAGGCGACGAUGCGUAGCCGACCUGAGAGGAUAAACGGCCAGACGGCAACUAAAACACGGUCCAGACUACUAGUGGAGGCCGCAGUAGGGGAUCUUACACAUGGGGAGAUAGCUUGACGGUGCAACACAGCUUAAUUGAUGAAGGUAUCCGGAUAGUAAUACUCUUUUAUUGGGGAAGAAGAAAUGUGUAAGGGACUUUGCACAUCUGGACGAUAACUAUUCAGAAAGCAACGGAUAACUACGUG
rnacentral:rRNA from 1 species